GACGAACGUUGGCGGCGUGCUUAAUACAUGCAAGUCAACGUGAAGCAGAGGUAGUAAUAUCUCUGUGGAGGUGGCGCACGGGUGAGUAACACGGUAGGUAAUCGUGCCUUCAGGUCUGACAUAACCCCGAGAAAUCGGGGCUAAUAGCAGAUGAUGCAGCGGCUUGACAUCAAGACAGUUGUUAAAGCUUCGGCGCCUGAAGAUGAGCCUGCGUCUGAUUAGCUAGUUGGCGGAGUAACAGCCCACAAGGCUACGAUCAGUAGCU
rnacentral:rRNA from 1 species